rnacentral:rRNA from 1 species
UACGAAGGGGGCUAGCGUUGUUCGGAAUUACUGGGCGUAAAGGGCGCGUAGGCGGCGGUACAAGUUGGGCGUGAAAGCCCUGGGCUCAACCCGGGAAUUGCGCUUGAUACUGUAUCGCUAGAGUUCGGGAGAGGUGAGUGGAAUUCCCAGUGUAGAGGUGAAAUUCGUAGAUAUUGGGAAGAACACCAGUGGCGAAGGCGGCUCACUGGACCGACACUGACGCUGAGGCGCGAAAGCGUGGGGAGCAAACAGG